rnacentral:misc_RNA from 1 species
GAUGAAGAACGUAGCGAAAUGCGAUAAGUAGUGUGAAUUGCAGAAUUCAGUGAAUCAUCGAAUCUUUGAACGCACAUUGCGCCCUUUGGUAUUCCUUAGGGCAUGCCUGUUCGAGCGUCAUUUAAACCUUCAAGCUCAGCCUGGUGUUGGGUGACUGUCCGCUUCACCGCGGACUCGCCUCAAAAUUAUUGGCGGCCGGUACAUUGGCUUCGAGCGCAGCAGAAACGCGAACUCGGGCCCGUCGUAUUGGCUCCCAGAAGCUAUCUUCACAAUUUUGACCUCGGAUCAGGUAGGGAUACCCGCUGAACUUAAGCAUAUCAAUAAGCGGAGGA